GCCCCGGUAGUGUAGUGGUUAUCACUCGACCCUGUCACGGUCGCGACCCGUGUUCGAUUCACGGUCGGGGCG
rnacentral:tRNA from 1 species